rnacentral:misc_RNA from 1 species
GAUGAAGAACGUAGUGAAAUGCGAUAAGUAAUGUGAAUUGCAGAAUUCAGUGAAUCAUCGAGUUUUUGAACGCAUAUUGCGCCCUCUGGUAUUCCGGGGGGCAUGCCUGUUCGAGCGUCAUUAAAUAACCCUCAAGCAUAGCUUGGUGUUGGGCUUUUUUACGUCCUUGACUGGGAUGGGCCUAAAAAUUAGUGGCGAUGGCUUUUUUACUUUCAAGCGUAGUAAAUCUCGUCUUGCUAAAGAGGAAAAAGAUUUUUUUUCUGCCAAAAAUUUUAACAUUUAAAGUUGACCUCGGAUCAGGUAGGAUUACCCGCUGAACUUAAGAAUAUCAAUAAGCGGAGGA